rnacentral:rRNA from 1 species
UGCCAGCCGCCGCGGUAAUACGGGAGUGGCAAGCGUUAAUCGGAAUUACUGGGCGUAAAGCGUACGCAGGCGGUUUGUUAAGCAAGAUGUGAAAGCCCUGGGCUCAACCUAGGAACCGCAUUUUGAACUGGCAGACUAGAGUCUUGUAGAGGGGGGUAGAAUUUCAGGUGUAGCGGUGAAAUGCGUAGAGAUCUGAAGGAAUACCGGUGGCGAAGGCGGCCCCCUGGACAAAGACUGACGCUGAGGUACGAAAGCGUGGGGAGCAAACAGGAUUAGAUA